rnacentral:rRNA from 1 species
UACGGAGGGUGCAAGCGUUAAUCGGAAUUACUGGGCGUAAAGCGCGCGUAGGUGGCUUCGUAAGUCCGCUGUGAAAGUCAAAGGCUCAACCUUUGAAAGCCGGUGGAUACUGCGGGGCUAGAGUACGGAAGAGGCGAGUGGAAUUCCUGGUGUAGCGGUGGAAUGCGCAGAUAUCAGGAGGAACACCAAUAGCGAAGGCAGCUCGCUGGGACGUUACUGACACUGAGGCGCGAAAGCGUGGGGAGCGAACAGG